rnacentral:rRNA from 1 species
AUUGAACGCUGGCGGCAUGCCUUACACAUGCAAGUCGAACGGCAGCACGGGAGCAAUCCUGGUGGCGAGUGGCGAACGGGUGAGUAAAGUAUCGGAACGUGCCCAGUCGUGGGGGAUAACGUAGCGAAAGUUACGCUAAUACCGCAUACGAUCUAUGGAUGAAAGCGGGGGAUCGCAAGACCUCGCGCGAUUGGAGCGGCCGAUAUCAGAUUAGGUAGUUGGUGGGGUAAAGGCUCACCAAGCCGACGAUCUGUAGCUGGUCUGAGAGGACGACCAGCCACACUGGGACUGAGAAACGGCCCAGACUCCUACGGGAGGCAGCAGGGGGGAAUUUUGGACAAUGGGCGAAAGCCUGAUCCAGCAAUGCCGCGUGCAGGAUGAAGGCCUUCGGGUUGUAAACUGCUUUUGUACGGAACGAAAAGGUUUGGGCUAAUAAGCUGAGCUCAUGACGGUACCGUAAGAAUAAGCACCGGCUAACUACGUGCCAGCAGCCGCCGUAA